rfam:Flavobacteriaceae bacterium CG2_30_31_66 cg2_3.0_scaffold_1250_c, whole genome shotgun sequence.
AAAAAGGUUUUUUUAAAAACUAUCAAAGAACUAUUUUUGCACAAUAU